GUUGUUAGUGCUCGAUAAUGUCCACAUAGAAUCUAGCCCCUUAUUGAUAAUUUAGGGUUCAUCAAUAUCUACGAUCUCUGCCAUCAGAGAGGCUGAGGUCGGCGUGACGAUUCCGUUCGUUGGGGUUUAGAUCACGUCCUUUCACCUUCGUUCCAUCCAUCGAAACGAGACAGUUUCCAGAUCGCAUUAAACAUGUUCCUAACUACCAUAGCCACGAACUAUGUGUGUGAAUCUUCUUAGAGGCGGUAUUUCUAAGAGUAUAAAAAGAAUUCAAAGCUAGAUACAACGUGUUAGGCUGUUCCAGGAUGCAAAUAGGUCUUGAAUUGAUUCAUCUCGGCGGCGGCAGUUUCGGCAACUAACGAUGCUAACUCUCGAGAACGCCGGUGGUUUCACGUCGUUGCUUGAGCCUCCACUUGCCGUCAUUGUAUUUUCAAGUACUGCCCUUACGGAAUUUUUUUUGAUAUCUCCACCGCCGCUUCACCAUUACGGAACAUUGACUAGCCCAAAACAAUCGGUCUCGCAAGAGAAUAGAACUCAACAAAAAGGCUAAAAGCUUAACAAAGACGAAGAACAAAGCUCGGAAGAGAACGAGAAGCUUUCAUAUGUUCAUGUUAGAGUUCGCUGUGGUGAAGCAACAGAUAGCCAUAGCAGAACGAAUUAUAGGCAAGAAGGGAGAAAAUUAAUACACGGAUGAAGCUGCUAUAGGAACUGGUUCCAGGCUGUGAUAAGGUUUGUCUCUGAGAUAAUGACUUGCGAUCAAUAUGCUAAUUAAUCUUAAUAUCUUCGAUUAUGCUUAACGACAGGAUAUUUUUCUAAAUAGAUUCACCUAAAGAUAAGAAUAUUGAAUAGUUUUGAUGAUAUAGUUUGUUUUUGUUAAAUAAUCAACACAAAAAGUGGAUUGCUUAAUCGCUUUUUAUGAAGAAGAGUGGUUUCUGGUUUGCCAAAGUGGCCUUAAAGGUCUUAACUUUAUUAUUUCUGUGUUGGGAGAAGUAUCCUCACAGGAAAAAUUCUGGCUUGAAAUCAGAAUGCAGCCUUACUCAAGAAGAUAGUAAUAAAAGUUCCGGAAAUGACUUGAGAGACAAAGACGAUUUGAGUAGGGAUAGAUUAUCUUUUCGCACAUACUCUGUUUUUUCUGUAAAACAAACCUAGCAAUGCCUAAGUAGAGCGGCCAUUGUUUCUGCAGUUGCCUUCAAAAGUGAUGAAGCAGACAAUGCAGAAGAAGAAAACAAUGAUAUCUUCUAUGAUUCCGAAAGUGACCAUGUUUUUUGUUUUUCUUUUUUUUUUAGUUUUGAGCCUCUGUUUCUAUAUCUGAUAGAAAAUUCCUUUAUGAGAUUCAGGGAGUUUAGAGACAUUGAUGACUCUGAGUGACACUUCUGGAUUGUUUGGAAGGUCUCAACUUCUCGGAUGGGGCUAAUUUGUAAUUCUCUUUUUUUGUUUUGUUUUUAUGCUACAACUAACGUGUAAUUCUCAAUCUCUCAAACCUUCGUAUGCUUUUAUCAAGGAAACACAAGAAACUAGAAAAUCA